rnacentral:rRNA from 1 species
AUUGAACGCUGGCGGCAGGCCUAACACAUGCAAGUCGAGCGGAUGAAGGGAGCUUGCUCCUGGAUUCAGCGGCGGACGGGUGAGUAAUGCCUAGGAAUCUGCCUGGUAGUGGGGGAUAACGUCCGGAAACGGGCGCUAAUACCGCAUACGUCCUGAGGGAGAAAGUGGGGGAUCUUCGGACCUCACGCUCUCAGAUGAGCCUAGGUCGGAUUAGCUAGUUGGUGGGGUAAAGGCCUACCAAGGCGACGAUCCGUAACUGGUCUGAGAGGAUGAUCAGUCACACUGGAACUGAGACACGGUCCAGACUCCUACGGGAGGCAGCAGUGGGGAAUAUUGGACAAUGGGCGAAAGCCUGAUCCAGCCAUGCCGCGUGGGUGAAGAAGGUCUUCGGAUUGUAAAGCACUUUAAGUUGGGAGGAAGGGCAGUAAGUUAAUACCUUGCUGUUUUGACGUUACCAACAGAAUAAGCACCGGCUAACUUCGUG